UUUCUCAAACAAAGACAAUAAUGAUGUCAAUAGCAAUAGAGCUUUAUUCUUGUCUUCUAAUUUGACAUCAAUGUUGAUCAAUUUACAAAGGAUUUCAUUGAAGGCAUUUAGGUAUUCCAAUACACCAAUGCUUCUUUUAUUUGUAAGUUAUACAAUUGCUGCUUUAAGAAUAGUCAAAUUGUUAGCAAUUUGGUCAUGUUCAAACUCUCCAAUUUUGUCUAUAACUUAGGUGUUGAGCUCUUGUUUAUGACAUUGUAUAACAUCUUGUUUGCAAGUCUUUUGCAAAUUAUACAUACAAUUCUUAAGUUGAUCUCCUCACAUUCUUUGUUAGUAUUAUAUGUGGGUUUCUUUCCUAAUGCUUUAUGCAAUCCUUGUUGUACAAGCAAGUCACAACCUGAAAUUAUUCUUCCCAACAAAUUUACCCACCUCAAAUUUUGCAUCAUAGACCUUUGCUACCAUUACAUUUCUUCAAUCUUAGCUUUGAUACAAAUUGCUGCAUUUGGAUAUUAAUGCACACUCAAAGAACAUGAGUCUGUUGUAGAUGCAACAGUCAAUGAUAUCACUAGCAAUAACAUUGAAACAAAAAUUGCAUCUACAAGUAGAAUAAUUUAUGAGAAACUGCUUCAUGGAGAACACUCAUUGACCUUAGAUUUUAAUUUUUUAACAUUAAACUAAAAUUUUCUUGAUCUAUACAAAGUUCAUAGCAAUGGUGUUCAUGUCAAGGCUGCAGCUGAUGGUUGCAGCAAUGGUGAUGAUCAAAAGAAGAUACAUAAGAGUGAGCAGACCAAGCCAUUGGUGACAAUACUAAAAGAAGGGCUGCUCUUAAUUGCACUUCCAUACAUGUCUUAUCUGAUCUUUCUAUUUUUCACACUCAUUGCAUCCCAUACUGGAGCUAAAAUUAUAUAUAUAUAUAUAUAUAUUAUUUUUAAUUACUAAUAUUUACAUUGAAUGUACAUGAUUUUUAAUUAUUUUUAUUGGAUGUCACUGUGAUACCCAAAUAAAACUCACAAUUCAAAAACAUGUAAAACAAUGAAUUCAUACUCUCUUUGAAAUACUAAACCUAUUAAGAAAAAAAUAUUUCAAAAUACACAUAUCUACAC
rnacentral:lncRNA from 1 species